rnacentral:misc_RNA from 1 species
AACAAAUAGAAUCCCUCUCUUCCUUGCCAAUCCUUCGAGCUUCGGCUGGAGGAAGCUCUUCACCUUCUUCGACGUCAGCGCGUACCCGACGACGAGCUUCUGCGGCGGCGGCGCCGCCGGAAUGGAGUCCCUCUCGUUCUCCCUCUCGUCCUCGUUCCGGCACACAAUUUCUCCAUCGUCAAACGUCAUGAUCGGAAACCCUAACCCUAGAUCGAUCAGCGCAGAUAUCACGAAAUUGAAGCUGAAACCCUAGACCGCGCGCUCCGAUCCGA